rnacentral:rRNA from 1 species
UACGUAGGCAGCGAGCGUUGUUCGGAAUUACUGGGCGUAAAGAGUGUGUAGGCGGUGCUCUAAGUUCGGUGUGAAAUCUCCCGGCUCAACUGGGAGGUGCGCCGAAUACUGAGGGGCUAGAGUGUGGGAGAGGAAAGUGGAAUUCCAGGUGUAGCGGUGAAAUGCGCAGAUAUCAGGAGGAACACCGGUGGCGAAGGCGGGUCUCUGGGGCCGAUACUGACGCUGAGGAGCGAAAGCGUGGGGGAGCAAACAGGG